CGAGUUGACUGUAAAUAUGCGCGGUUGGCUUAAGUUUUAAUUAGCAUAUUGAGGAAAUAACUAUGGCUCUUAAUGCCGAAGAAAAAGCAAAAGUAGUAAGCGAAUAUCAACAGUCUGAA
rfam:Oleiphilus sp. HI0069 HI0069_c77, whole genome shotgun sequence.